GAGCAGAGAGAUCUUCUUAAUCAAGAUCUAGAGAUGUUUUGGGCUCAUCAGAAUUCCUCAGGAUUACAUAAAAAGCCUGAUUUACCUCUGGCUACGGUUAAAAGAGUUAUGAAAUCUGAUCCUAAUGUCAAGAUGGUCAGCUGGAAGGGUCCUGUUCUUUU